UCUGACUACUUGGAUACCUGUGGUAAUUCUAGAGCUAAUACAUGCUAAAAACCCCGACUUCGGAAGGGGUGUAUUUAUUAGAUACAAAAUCAAUGCCCUUCGGGGCUUCUUGGUGAUUCAUAAUAACUUAACGAAUCGCAUGGCCUUGCGCCGGCGAUGGUUCAUUCAAAUUUCUGCCCUAUCAACUUUCGAUGGUAGGAUAGUGGCCUACCAUGGUUUCUACGGGUAGACCGUUGCCCGUGAAUUUGCUGUCGGGGGGGGGAGGCCCCCUCCGGCGACCCCGCUGGCUCAAAAAACGUCGCUGGCGACCGAUUUUGAGGCGAGCUCCCUCGCGGGAGCCGCCAAAACGCAUGCGAAGUGUUGGGCCCCUUUCGGGGGGCUUUUGGCUCAUGCUACCGCCCGGCCUCCGCCGGGGUCGACCGAGAGAACGGGGAAUAGGGUUCUAUUCCGGAGAGGGAGCCUGANAAACGGCUUCCACAUCCAAGGAAGGCAGCAGGCGCGCAAAUUACCCAAUCCCGACACGGGGAGGUAGYGACAAUAAAUAUUGAUGCAGAGCUCUUUUGGGUUUUGCAAUUGAAAUGAGUACAAUUUAAAUUCCUUAACGAGGAACAAUUGGAGGGCAAGUCUGGUGAACGUUUC
rnacentral:rRNA from 1 species